rnacentral:sRNA from 1 species
UCAACUAAGGAAAUGGGGGAGGACCCAACCCGCUGUGGGCAGUGCCAUCUCUUGGCAGGCAGACCUGGGCUGUAUAGGAAAGAUGGGCUUCCUGGGCACCCUGAGUAAAUAAGGAGUUGCUACAAAAAUCCAUGGCUGCUGUUCAUGGCAAAGAACAUAUUGCAGAGGGCAAGAACGUGUACAGAUUCUACAUAAACUCACAUCCUCAAAAUGUUUUACUUUCUGGAGCUGAGAACUUUGGAAACAAUGGAUUUGGGCUGUGUCCCAGACUCCGUCAGAACCAGGACUGGGAAAUGGAUAAGCAGAAUUGGAGCCCACAGAGAUUUCAGACUCUGGAGACCAGCAUGGGUUGCAGAUCUUUUGUUUUGUUCAGUACAAAAACUUACACCCAACUUUUCAGCCGGGUUCUGGAGUGAAUUAAAGGGAAAAGGAAAGGAGAAAGUGAUCUGACUCGCAGUCUUCAUCAUCACUGUGUUUGCCUUUUGAUUGUGAAUGUGAUGUGAUCAUAGAGCGGCCUGUUACCCUGGCCAUGAUGGGCUGCAUCUUUUCAAACUGACCCUACGAGGUGACCCACUUAUCACUGGGAUCUGUGAUAAGUGCAAGGUUGUGUAUGUGGCUGCUGUUACAGUGACAUGGAAACAUGGCACUAGACUUGAGUGCAUCGGUUUUGCUUUUGUCCAUCGGUGUGAAAUGAAGAAUGAGUCUGACAUGCUCCUCCACAUAACUCCUCACAGCCGACUGCCAGCAGGAGGAUUUGCAGCACUUUGCCUGUCAGUGUUUUGCUUCUUGAGUGUCAGUCACUGAGGGGCUGGGCUUCUGUCUGAUGGGGAGGCUUCCCUCCUAAUCUCCUUCACCUCUCUGUACUGCUCAGAAAUGUUCUACUGUCAAUCAGUCAUUCCGUCUCCUCAUUUCCCUGAAGGGUGAUGUUAUUAAACAACCUGCCUUAGGCCCCUAGAACUUAUCAGUUUUAACAGUAGUCAGAAAUACUGAUUUCUAGUUCUGUACUUAGAUCAAUAAGUCUUGCUACCUUUAAAGGAAACCUUUUGCUUUUGCAGAUGUAAGUCCAGUUUGGGAACUGUGAGACACUCUUCCAGUUCCAGCGUGAGCUCUUAUUUGCUUGUUCAUAUAAGAACUCCCAAGAGAUAGAGGGUUCUUUUGACUUAAGGACACUUAACAUGUUAACAC